CAGUAGCCGCGGGAAUACGUAGGUGGCAAGCGUUGUCCGGAAUUAUUGGGCGUAAAGGGCUCGCAGGCGGUUUCUUAAGUCUGAUGUGAAAGCCCCCGGCUCAACCGGGGAGGGUCAUUGGAAACUGGGAAACUUGAGUGCAGAAGAGGAGAGUGGAGUUCCACGUGUAGCGGUGAAAUGCGUAGAGAUGUGGAGGAACACCAGUGGCGGAGGCGACUCUCUGGUCUGUAACUGACGCUGAGGAGCGAAAGCGUGGGGAGCGAACAGGAUUAGAUACCCCCGUAGUCCCUGUCUCUUAUAC
rnacentral:rRNA from 1 species